UACGGGGGGUGCGAGCGUUGUCCGGAAUCACUGGGCGUAAAGGGCGCGUAGGUGGUCUGAUAAGGGUGUGGUGAAAGUCCGGGGCUCAACCCCGGAUCUGCCGUGCCGACUGUCAGACUCGAGGACUGUAGAGGCAGGCGGAAUUCCGGGUGUAGCGGUGGAAUGCGUAGAGAUCCGGAGGAAGACCGGUGGCGAAGGCGGCCUGACUGGGCAGUUUCUGACACUGAGGCGCGACAGCGUGGGAGCAAACAGG
rnacentral:rRNA from 1 species